GGCGUGCCUCGGCAUCAGCG
rnacentral:snRNA from 1 species